rnacentral:lncRNA from 1 species
UCCCCUGGGAGGUCAGUGCAGGGUUCCUCCAUUUUGACAUGAGUAAAUUCUAGAUUAGGUAUUUGGCAGUUAACUCAUCUGGAUAUAUGGGAACAGAAGUGCCAGACACGUAGAUAAUAUUUGGAGAACAGGAGCAGACUUGGAACAUGCUGAAUAGAGGACAAGGAAGUAUCAUCAGACAAACUUAAAGAUGAUCUGACAAUGUCAUUUUCCAAGGGACUGAUAGAAAGAUUGAGUAUCAUGGAAUCAGAACAGACAACAGAGAAUCAGAUUUGGACUGAAUCAGAAUAAACAGGCAAUGCAGACACUUGUUCUCUGAAUCACAAUCAAGACUCAGUGCUGGAACAGAUUUGAGGAAUGUAUACAAUUCUUAUCUAAACUGAUGUCUGAUAUUUAACCAGGAAUCAACUUACUCUGGUGAGCUUUGUUGAGAGUAGAUUUUUUGAGGAAAGAAUUGAAGGAGUGGCCAUAUUCAUACUAGAAUAAAACAUAGGAGAUGUCAAGAUUAUCUGAAGAAGGGGAGAGAAGAGACACCAGAUACUUGCAGACACAGAAGAAAUACCAUGUGCAAACAUACCCAGAAGACCACCAUCUGCAAGAGAAGGAGAGAGACCUCAGAAUACACCAAUGCUGCUGAAACCUUCAUCUUGGACUUCCAGCCUCCAGACUUUGAGAAAAUAAAUUUCUGUUGUUUAAGGAGCGC